rnacentral:rRNA from 1 species
GACGAGCGCUGGCGGCGUGCCUAAUACAUGCAAGUUGAGCGCUGAAGGUUGGUACUUGUACCAACUGGAUGAGCAGCGAACGGGUGAGUAACGCGUGGGGAAUCUGCCUUUGAGCGGGGGACAACAUUUGGAAACGAAUGCUAAUACCGCAUAAAAACUUUAAACACAAGUUUUAAGUUUGAAAGAUGCAAUUGCAUCACUCGAAGAUGAUCCCGCGUUGUAUUAGCUAGUUGGUGAGGUAAAGGCUCACCAAGGCGAUGAUACAUAGCCGACCUGAGAGGGUGAUCGGCCACAUUGGGACUGAGACACGGCCCAAACUCCUACGGGAGGCAGCAGUAGGGAAUCUUCGGCAAUGGACGAAAGUCUGACCGAGCAACGCCGCGUGAGUGAAGAAGGUUUUCGGAUCGUAAAACUCUGUUGGUAGAGAAGAACGUUGGUGAGAGUGGAAAGCUCAUCAAGUGACGGUAACUACCCAGAAAGGGACGGCUAACUACGUG